rnacentral:lncRNA from 1 species
UUGCAGAAUAAGAGGCAACGGAUCAAGCCUUCCAUUGAGGAAGGUCUAUGUCAAAAUCAAGAUGAGAAAGAAGAUUCAGAGGUUUCAUUCAAUAACUAAGAAACUCCAAGAACUUGUUAUCUAAACGAAAGAAUUGAAGCUUGAUUGAGGGAAUUUGAAUAGGUUUGCUAAGAAGGGAGCCUUAAUGUAUUUGAAUAUCAAUCACGAGAAACAUAUAUGGCCUAAAAAGAACAGAGUGAACAUGAGGUUAUUUCUGCAUUUCUUGGUUUUUUAUCUUUUGCAACAAGGUAUUCACUUUUAAUUGUAAAUUACAAUUUGAAUAUCUUUUACUGGUUGAUGCAUCUUUUAUUUUUUAUCUAUAGUCCAGAUUACAUGUGAUUCAUAUUACAGCAGAGAUGGCACUAAUACCUAAGGUGCACUCAUCCUAAUCCCUGUGUUUUAUUCUUGUAAGUGGAUUUUAUUACACCUACUGGAAUCUUAAAGAGGCAUGUCAGAACCAUCUGGAUUUUCUUUAAAGAAAGGGAGUACUGGGUCUGAGUUCUAUAUUGAAAUAAAUUCUCAGACCUCCUUAAAAUGUUGUCUCUUUAUCUUUUUAUUUUGUUUCUUCUUUUGUCAAUUGUUGAAAUCUUUUUUCAAAAUUUCGUGUUUGGUUAAGAAUUUUUUGUUAUCUUGUAUUUUUAAUGCUUAUUUGGAUUGAAAGUUGUUGAAAUUGCUAGAUCCUUGUUCUUUGACAAUGGUCUUCAUUUACCAUUGUUUCUGAACUUGUUGAGUUUCGUUUCCUGAUUAGAUGGAAGUGUAUUUGGUCUUGAUAGAAAUCAAGAACCAUCACUAAAUUGAGAAUCUAAGAGAAAAUAGAAGUGUAUUUGGUCUUGAUAGAAAUCAAGANACUAAAUUGAGAAUCUAAGAGAAAAUAGAAGUGUAUUUGGUCUUGAUAGAAAUCAAGAACCAUCACUAAAUUGAGAAUCUAAGAGAAAAUAGAAGAAAAGUUAGUGAGAUAUCUCACUUAGACUUUUAACAGAAUUAUAAGUUUCUGAGUACAUGUCAACUGGCUGACAGUUGAGCAAACUAUACUCCACCUUAUUAUUCUUAAAGCAAUUCAGCAUGCAUGAUAGAUACUAUCCUACUGAAUAGAAUAUUGCUCUUACAAGUCUGUACUUCUAUAGAUUAUCUGGUAUGAAAUCAACUAAAAAUAAUGUCAUCAUCUGUGUGGAAGUUCAGGUGAAUUAAGCAUACAAGUGGCCCUGUUCUUAAGUCUUUCUAGCAUCUAAUGAUGUUUAAAUUAAUUUAUCUCAUGAACAGGUUGGUGGGAUGUUGUCAGUGGUCUAGGUAAAGCACUGCAAAAGAAAGGACACCUUGUUGAAAUUGUGCUUCUCAAAUAUGAUUGUAUGCAAUAUGAUCAUGUCUGCAACUUACGGGUAUGCCAUUUCAUUAAGAAAAUAAUUGAACGUGUCGAUACUGUCAUGGUUGGUUGUAUCCUGCACUACUUGAAAUAAUUUGAUUAUUCAUUCAGGCUUUGAGUGUGCCUAUAGAAUCAUACUUUGAUCACCAAUUAUACAAAAAUAAAAUCUGGGUUGGCAACAUUUCAAGUAUUCAUUCUAUUAGAUAUUUUCGUUUUAAUUGAUUGUCUUUUAGUCACUAAUAGUAUUGCAUAUUUGUUUCUUUGCUAGGCUCCUCUGUACUGGGAGAUAUUUGUACAUAAAGGAUUAAAUUCAGCUAGGAUAUGCUUUACAUGCCACAACUUUGAGUAUCAGGGGACUGCAGUAGCUUCAGAGUUAGACUAAUGCGGUCUUGUUAACAAGAAUCUAA